rnacentral:rRNA from 1 species
ACUCAAAGGAAUUGACGGGGAGCCGCACAAGCAGUGGAGCAUGUGGUUUAAUUCGAUGGUAAGCGAAGAACCUUACCGAGGCUUGACAUCUCGGGAAAGCCCAAGAAAUUGGGCUGUGCCUUCGGGAACCCGAUGACAGGUGUUGCAUGGCCGUCGUCAGCUCGUGCCGUGAGGUGUUCGGUUAAGUCCGGUAACGAGCGCAACCCUUGUGGUUUGUUGUAUUUUUCAAACCAGACUGUCCUGGAAACAGGAAGGAAGGUGGGGAUGACGUCAGGUCAGCAUGGCCCUUAUGCCUCGGGCUACACACGUGCUACAAUGGCCGGUACAACGGGUUGCUAAGUCGUGAGGCGGAGCUAAUCCCAUCAAAACCGGUCUCAGUUCGGAUUGCAGGCUGAAACUCGCCUGCAUGAAGCUGGAAUUGCUAGUAACCGUGGGUCAGCACACCACGGUGAAUACGUUCUCGGCUCUUGCACACACCGCCCGU